rnacentral:lncRNA from 1 species
UAAGAACUAAGCAACAAGAAAUCAAGCAACUCAGUCAACAAGCAGGCUAGUAAGAUGAAUAGGCAGCUCUCCAAAGAUGAAACAAAUGGCCAGAGACAUAUGAAAAAUGUUCAGUCUUUGGUCCUCAAAGAUGUGCAAAUCAAAAGCCACACAGAGAUCCCAUCAUACCCCAGUCAGAAUGACAGUCACACAAAAGAACACAUGCUGCUGAGCGUGUGGGCAAAGUAAAAGAGGAAUGUCUAAGAAUUUCAGUCAAUGUAAUAAGAACUACGGAAUUAGCACACCAUGUAGACCUGUGCCUGUCUGCCUUUUCUGGAUGUAAUCUGGGCUCACCACACAUGGAAGACUUCACCGGCAUCUCCUUCGUGGGAAAGUUCAAGGUGAAGAAGAUCUGAGAGUCACUGUGUGGUUAUAGGAGCUGAAGGUCAUCAUCCAGGUGAAGAGUCUGAGGAUCACUGUCCUGGUUACCCCACGUGUUGGUUAAUAGCCUCUACUUGAAAAGCACAGCAGACACGGGGCACACAUGGUCACUGAGAGCUGGUCAGCUGAUGCUCCAGGGGAAGGUGCACCCACUGGCCUUCUGUAGUGAACAAGAGAGUCUUCGAAGAAAAAGGAAAUGUAUCAGUAGCAGUUUAGCAUUGAUUCUGUGGGGUGGUAAGCUCUUGACUGUAUCGGGUUAAAUAAAAU